CACCAGCUGGCCUUGCCCUCAGCCAGAGUGUCGCCGAGGGCCCUAAGGCUGUUGCUGCGUCUUUUGCCUUGCCUGGUAGGAGCCCAUCACGUACUCGAGCCAGCCGCUUCCAUGGGCGACGGAGUAGCGCUAUUGGCAUUGAGAACAUACAGGAGGAAAAGAGCAGGGACACUGCAGAGAGGAUACAGAAGAUGCUGGACAGUCCGGGGACGUUCUUUGAUCUGAAGUCUGAUGGAUCAUCCAGUCCCAGCUCCCCAGAGUUCCCCAACAGGAAGAACAAAAUGCUCAGGAGUCAGACUUCAGGAUACUGUGUGAUGCAGCCGUUAUCACGUUCUUCAUCCAGUGUAAGCAGUUGUUGUAGUGGUUUGAGAGAAAAUGAAACAUCUGAG
rnacentral:lncRNA from 14 species